CCCAUGGGAGCCGCAGAGGUGGUGGAGAGGUGCCAGCGAGGGCUGGGAACCCCACCUCCCCUGAGGGUACUGCCGGCACCCCAGGCCAAGGCCUCCCCACCUCGGGGUGCCAGCUGAGCCCCAUCCCAUGGCACCCGCCCCCUCCUGCUUCCUCCUCUGCACUCAGAGCCGGGGAGGCCUGCCCUGGCCAACCUGCAGACUUGGAUUCAUCUUUCAAAACCAACCUCCGCCCCCUCACCUUUUCUGCUAAUCCUCCUGCCAAGCUGACAGAGCCUUGAUGUUCCCUUCCCGUGGGGAGGUGGCACGUCCCUCAUGUCCCUCACGCUGUGGGACUCAUGUCAGCACGCAGAGCGCCCCUGCAGGCGCACCUCUGUGAGCAGCCACAGGUGGGAGUAGGUGUGUGAGGAAGGUGGUUCUUAAUUGGGCUUGUGGUCUGGAGGUAGUUGAAAGCUGCUUUUUUUCCCUCCUAACAAGGAUUUGGGUGGGUUCUCUAUUAUCUCAUUUCAGAGGUGAAGCAAGACCAGCUCAGUCACACCUUCCACACUUCAGGGAAACCAACCAUCCCCGUGACUUCAGGGCCUUCCAGUCCUCUGGGCUCCCGACUUGCCGUCCCUUCUCCUUCACCCCCGGCUCUGCAGUGACCCCAGCACAUGUGUCCUGGAGCCAGUACUGUCCUGGAAGCCUGUGUAUCAGAUGUGAUGUCAGGUAACUGGAGAGGGUGCCCAUGGGUGAAGGUGCCUUCCUAACACAGGCUGCUGGAGAGCACCCACAUUACACCUGCAGGGGUGGAGGUCUGAGUUCUGUCAGUGUCCGCAGGGGCCAGGAAUUCAGCACUAGGUUUCCAAACUUUAUUUGGUCCUAGCUGAAUUUGCUGACACCUACUUUGGGAGGUGAGGCUGCCAUAUAGCCUAUUUGUCUUUCCGUCCACAUCCUACACUAUUUUUCCUGACACUGCUACCCACAUCCCACCUUCUAAUUAAAAUAAAAAUUGUAGUAAAAAAAGAAAGAAAAUAGUAGAGAAAUCUCCCCUCCCCCCCCCAAAAAAAAAAGACUCAAGAUUUAUGCUAGAUACGUGGGUCAGGAUCACUUACAAUGAAAAAUGCUCUUCACAAAAUACUAUGAAUAAUAGUGUAUAUUUUAUAAGCACCCAUAUGAUACCCAUGGACCCCGCUCAUUGCCGUGCGAGGUAAGUACUGAAUUUUUCACCACUUUACUGAUGAAGAAAGAGGUCCAGGAAGAUCAAGG
ensembl:lncRNA